rnacentral:rRNA from 1 species
UUAAAUGGCCGCAGUAUUUUGACUGUGCUAAGGUAGCAUAAUCAUUAGUUUUUUAAUUGAAAGCUAGAAUGAAGGGUUUGAUGAAAAAAAAACUGUCUUUUGAUAAUUAAAUUAAAAUUUUAUUAUUAAGUUAAAAAGCUUAAAUUUUUUUAAAAGACGAGAAGACCCUAUAGAGUUUGAUUUUUUUUAUUUUAUAUAAUGUUUAGAAUUUAAAAUUAUAUUUUUUAUAAAAAUUUAAUUGGGGUGAUUGAAAAAUUUAAUAAACUUUUUUUAUUUUUAUUUAUAAAUUUAUAUAUUUUUGAUCCAUAUAAAUGAUUAUAAGAUUAAAUUACCUUAGGGAUAACAGCGUAAUUUUAUUGGAGAGUU